UACAGAGGGGGCAAGCGUUGUUCGGAAUUACUGGGCGUAAAGGGCGCGUAGGUGGCCUUCUAAGUUGAACGUGAAAUCCCUGGGCUCAACCCAGGAACUGCGUCCAAGACUGGGAGGCUUGAAUCCGGGAGAGGGAUGCGGAAUUCCAGGUGUAGCGGUGAAAUGCGUAGAUAUCUGGAGGAACACCGGUGGCGAAGGCGGCAUCCUGGACCAGCUAUGACGCUGAGGAGCGAAAGCCAGGAGGCAAACGGG
rnacentral:rRNA from 1 species